rnacentral:lncRNA from 1 species
CAUUCGCCUUCCAAACGCUAAUGGGUUGAAUUCACCCUUAUUUAUUUUCUGUCGGCCCAUCACAUGGCACCACAAGGAGACCCAGCAUUUUCUGAGCUUGGGGACAUGAAGGAACCAGUUAGCUUAUUUUGAUUACGUGACUGUGAGUGAUGCUGUCCAGGUCGGCUCCAGGCAAUGGACCCUGAGGUGGCAGAUGGCUGUCCAUGCUAAAGGAUGCCUCUGCUCCACUGCUCAAGGAGUGGAAGCAGCCACUACUCACUCCCUCGAGAUGAGUGAGACGGUGCUCAGCUCAGUUGAGAGUGGUCUGUGCGUGCGUUUUCUCUGGAGGAAGCCCAGCAACACCACGCCUGGAUUGGAGGGUCUCUAGAAGCCACGAGAAAACUGAACGCUUCAGCAAUGGUAAGAUUUUUCUGGGCUGGCACAGGAAAACUCAGUUCAUGGAAUAUAAAUCAGCAACCCUACACUCUAAUUUCCACCCUUCGCAUGUAGCAUGAUUACACAAGUGAGCCGUACGAGCGACAAGUCAAAAACCGAGGUUUGUUUGCCAGAAGAAAGCCAAACCUUCAAUUCUGUGGUUAAUGCCACCUAGGGCUAUAACUACCCAAGCUAAUAUCAUCUUUCUUCUAAAGAAGAGGAAAAGGGAUCCUCAUGGCCAAUGUUCUUGUGAAUUAACCAUUUCAGGUUUAAUACCAAGCCUAAUAUCAAAUUCCUAAGGUAUUCAUAUUCAGACAUUUAAAAGCGAAAAAUUAAGCAUCUGAUAGUAACAUUAACAUGCUUAUAGUACGUCUUCCUCAAUUUAUUAAAUGUCACUUUUAGAAAUGUUUCCCAAACACUGCCUCUCAUGUUAUUAAAGGGAUUUUGCUUAAAGUAAACCAAUUUUAUUCUAACCUCCACACGCACAGCAGAAUCAGGGAGAGUUCAAACAUUUGGUGAACUCUUGAUUUUCCUCGUUGAGUCUCCAGGCAUCAAUGUGAGUCCAUUUAACUGAAGGCAGACACAUAAAUUGUUUUUAUUAGAAGGUCCACACAGUAUAUUUAUUGAGAAAGUUUGGGGGGUGUGGUAUUUGCUUUCUAAUGCAGAAACUAAUUUCUAAAAAGUAAAUUAGGCAUUUAGAAUUAUAGGAAGCUUCAUGAAUGGAUCACAUGAAAUCUUUCAGGCCGUGAAUAUCCUACUACAACUUCCCCGUCACACAAAUAAAUAUGCUUCCAAACUGAAGAGAAAAUUGUUC